rnacentral:lncRNA from 1 species
CCAGUGAGAAGGAGCUGCCUGGCCUUGGCACCCAGGAGGCAAAGGGAGAGAAUGUGUUCUUGGUGACCAAUUUCCUUGUGACGCCAGAACAAGUUCAGGGCAGAUGCCCAGAGUUCAGUCUUCACAAACACCCUGCCUAGUUGGAAUUACUGCAGUCUCCAUUUAAGACGAGAAGACUGAGGCCUAGCCAGGUUGAGUCACUGACCCAAGGCCUCCCAGCCUGUGGGUCAUGGGACUGUGCACCUCUGAGCAGUGUGCUUCUGGAUCCUUCUACUGUUGCUUUCUGUGAGAUGUCUAGGCCCCUCACCAUCCUGGUCCUGCCUCUGGACACUCCACAGGUUGUCAGUGUAACACCCAGAACUGGGCACAAUGGUUAAGUGGGCUCUAAUAGCAAGAGCCAAGCUGGAAGAUCACCUCCCCUUCUCUAUGCCCAGCCUCUGUUAACCUGUCUCGGGGGAGCUUCUGUUUUCGUGGGCAAACACAGCACACUCCUUAU